UACAGAGGUCUCAACCGUUGUUCGGAUUCAUUGGGCGUAAAGGGUGCGUAGGCGGUCGCGCAAGUCGGAUGUGAAAUCUUAGGGCUCAACCCUGAAACUGCAUUCGAUACUGCGUGGCUCGAGUACUGGAGAGGAGACUGGAAUUUCCGGUGGAGCGGUGAAAUGCGUAGAGAUCGGAAAGAACACCAACGGCGAAAGCACUCUGCUGGGCCGACACUGACACUGAGAGACGAAAGCUAGGGGAGCGAAUGGG
rnacentral:rRNA from 1 species